rnacentral:lncRNA from 1 species
GGAUUUGCCGCCGCGCUUGGGAAGCCGCCACCGCCGCCGCUGCUGCAUGGCACUAGGCUCCCGGCGGGGCAGGUUCCGCAGCCGGCACCGCUCUGGCUAGGCGCACGGAGGCGCCUUGCUUAGUCUGACCCUUAUUUGGCCAGGCGUAAAACUUGUCCUGCCUAAAAGCCUACUGAGACCUCCUAACUGGUCUAAUCCGCGGGAGACGCCAAAGGCGGCGGCCGUUUGUGCGCACAGGAUUUUUCUUGGAGCUGUAGCAGUCUAGGAAGCCAGGGUGGAACUUUUGCUAAGCUCCCGUUGUAAGCCCAGAGCUGUAAUAACUGCUGAGACACAACCAGCAGUAUACAGGCUCCAGUUGGAAAUCGAGAACUUUCCAGGGCUGUCACCCAGGCUGGAGUGCAGUGGUGCCAUCACAGCUCACUGCAGCCUCGACCUCCUAGGCUAAAGUGAUCCUCCCAACUCAGCCUCCCGUAGCUGGGACUACAGGAAUGUGCCACGCCCAGGUAAUCUUAAUUUUUUGUGGAGACGAGGUCUUGCUAUGUGGCCCAAGCAGAUCUCGAACUCCUGAGCUCAAGGGAUCCUCCCACCUUGGUCUCCCAAAGUGCUGGGAUUUGCAGGCGUGAACCACCACACCUGGCCAUAAACCAACUUCUCAUUGCUUACCUGGCUUUCCAAGAAAAGAGAGAGGGCAGAGGGAAAAUAUUUAUUAUUUUGCUAUGUACUGAGUAUUCUAAGCAUGGACUUGUAUCGUCUCUGUUCUCUCAACAACCUCUCUAAAACUUCAACGUAGAAAUUUCCAUCUUAAAAUUAAGCGACAAGAACUAGAAAUGGCAAGUAAUUCAUCCAGAGGUUACUGGGAUUUGAAUACUGGACAGGCAGAUCCCCCUCAUUUCAAAUUAAUACUACAUUAGCUGUCUUUUUUAUUUCUUUUUUCUUUUUGUUUGUUUGAGACAGGAUCUCGCUUUGUACGCCAGGCUGGAGUGCAGUGGCGCGAUCCUGGGUCACCUCCCAGAUUCAAGCAAUUCUGUGCCUCAGCCACCAAGUAUCUGGGACUACAGGCGUGAGCCCGGCUAAUUUUUGUAUUUUUAGUAGAAACAGAGUCUCACCAUAUUGCCCAGGCUGGGCUCAAACUCCUGGCCUCAAGUGAUCCUCCCACUUCUGCCUCCCAAAAUGCUGGGAUUAGCACCUGACCUUACGUUAGCAAUCCUGUUGACUUAUUUAAGACAAAACGUGCUUUAAGACAAAAUCUGUGCCAAAGGUUUUCAGAUAAAGAUAAAAUUAGCAAUGUAACCAUAAAAUUCAAAGUUGCCUUGGGCUGAGUUGGUAGAAUGUUUAUGCAGAUCAAGGAACUCCAAAAGUUAAAAAACAGAAGUGGAAGUGAGCAUUAGGGAAUGGGGAAAGAGUUGGUGGAGAGAGGAAAUAUUUGUGUAAACAUUUAACCAUCUCCAAACACCAGCAAAGAACAGUUGAAACGAUUUGCUAUACUCACUGUCCACCCGUGUUAACUUUAUGGUAUGUGACAUACAGCAAAAAUUACAUGUAAUUUUUGACUAAGCCUUUUAGCUCUUUCAAUCCCUUCGUAGUAUGUCACCCCCUCUCUUCCCAUAAUUAAAAAUUAUAAGACACCUAGUAAAUAUAAUACACUCAUAGAAUUAAGUUAUAAGUCCAUCAAGUACAUUUCCAAUUGGAAGUUAAGAGUGAUGCUGACCCUUCACAGUUGACUGGGCUGAAGUUGGGAACUGAUUCAAUAAACUUCCACCACAAGGAUGUCAAAUUGCUCCUCAGGGUAUUCUCAGAGAGUCUUUUCCCUAGGCUUGAUCUCCUUACCCUAAGUGUUAGGACACACCAUUCCUCUCUUGCUUGCAGUAUUCAAUGACUUUACCCACUAAUAAAAUGAUAGUAAAUAGUAAGAGUGAAUAUGGCUUGUAAGUAAUGCUAACAAAACUGUGAUGGCUUAGCAAAGUAAAAGAUGGUUUUAUGGUCAGUAAGUUUGGAUUAAAGCUUACUAAAGCUUGAUGCUUUGUUACCAGUCUGCUAAAGAACUACCUUCUUAAUUUGAUUUCCUACUUACUGGAUACCUAUUGGAAAACUAGAGAGAUAUGAUAGGCUUUCAUUUAUUGCUGCCGUAAAUAAAUUUUUAAAAUAGAGAAAUAACAGCUUUGUCAUUAGUGUAGAGCACAGUUUGCCUCUGCUAGGUCAGUAUUGGGCUUGCUUCGUUUAAGUCAUUAACCAUUAGGAUCACCCAACUUGUCCUGCCUAAAAGCCUACUGAAAAAACAUGCAUAUAACUUUUGCAUAUUUAUUUUGCUACUUAUUGUUGAUUUUCUAUAGGAAACUAUUUAUACUCCUCAGUGUAUAUGGCCAACUUGGAAGUUCUACUUCCUAUAAUUAUGUCAGCAGUUAGUGAAGAUGAUCAAAACAGCCAUUCUGAAUUUAAUAAACAGAUGAGCCUCAGACUCUGGAUCUCCAUGACCCAACCCUAUGAGGCUCUGCCUGAAGAACCAAUCAAGCUUCCCACUUUGAUAUUUUAGUGACUGUAGCAUCUUGUUCCUCUUCUAAAUUAAACACCACAGAUGCUCCCAUUUCAUGGCUGUGUAGGCACGAUGGACUCACCACUGCCUUCCAUACCACCACCUGGUUUAUACAAUAAUUUUCCAAUUCUAGUUGUCCAAAACGAAGCUAUACAAAACUCACAAAUCCAUUAUUGUCUUCCAUGUAGAGAUAAAAAAGCAAGGAAUAUGCUUGUUAAAAAGCAUGCAAUACUUUAUGAAUCCUCGGUGAUGUACUUUUUGGGCUCGCUGCUGCUGGAGAUUUUGCUAAUGCCCCUACACGUUUUAAUGCAGUCCACCAAGCUCUUUGCUAGUAAGCUGGUUUCCACUUUUUUUUUUUCCUUUUUCUUUUUCUUUUCUUUUCUUUUUUUUUUUUAAACAGACAGGAUCUCCCUUUGUUGCCCAGGCUGGAGUGCAGUGGUUAUUCAUAGGCAUGAUGAUGGCUCACUACAGUUUCAAACUCCUGGACUUAAACAAUCCUGUCUCAGCCUCCUGAGUAGCUGGGACUUACAGAUGCGCACCACCAUACCUGGCAUCCCACAUAUUUUUCUAAUCAUUAUCCCCUUCUUUCCUAAAUUUUCUUCAAGGAAACCAAACUCAGUCCCAACUUCCAUAAGCUAACACUUAUACAAUUAAAAUGACAUUUAGCUUCUGGAAUCAAUGUGGAAAGAAAUGACAACUUAUUUGCUGAUUAUUUUUCACUGUAAUAAAUAUUAGGCCUUUUAUCUGGAAGGAAAUACCAAACCCUUGUUUAAUAUUAAUAACUUGUAAAUUAUUGUACACGUAAUUUCAUUCUCUCUUCCCAUGUCUUCAUUUUUCUGCCUCUGGCUUUUCACCUUGUUGUGAAUUCCUAGUUUUAUAGUACUUUUAUACUGUAUGAUACUGACUUCUUAAGCAUACAAAAAACUUCAGAACUCAAGCAAUUCCACCUGUAAGCCUUGUCUAGUGAUGCCUAUGGCAAAAAAGGACCCAUACAUUUGAUGUACUUAUCACUCAAAAAUCAUUCCCAGAGAAUUCUCAGGAAACUCAGAACAGGGCCUACCCUGAAUUCUGAGAACAGGACCAUUUUUAAGUCCUUUAAGUCCUUCAUUGACACCCUUCCUUUCUCUUACUUUCUUUUCUUUCUUAUUUUUCUCUUUCUUUCUUUUCUUUUCUUUUUUUCUUUUUCUUUUCUUUCCUUUCUUCCUUCUUUCCUUUCCUUUCCUUUUUUCCUUUCUUUUACUUUUCUCUUUCUUUCUUUCUCUCCCUUUCCUUUCCUUUUCCUUUUCCUUCCCCGUCCCUUCCCCGUCCCGUUCCAUUCCGUUCCAUUCUGUCUUGCUCUGUUACCCAGGCUGGAGGGCAGUGGUGCAAUCAUAACUCAGUGCAGUCUUGACCUCUUGGGCCCAAGGGAUCCUCCCAUCUCAGCCUCCUGCAGGCAUGCACUAUCAAGUCCAGCUGAUUUUUUUUUUUUUUUCAUUUUAUUUUUUCUAAACACCGGGUUUCACCAUGUUGCCCAGGCUGGUCUGGAACUCCUGGCUUCAAGUGAUCUUCCUGCCUUGGCCUCCCAAAGUGCUGAGAUUACAGGCAUGAGCCACAGUGCCCGGCCAACACCCUUACCUUUAUGUUCCCAGUCACAUUAUGUCAAAUAUUUCAGAAUGCUUCUUUGUUUCAAAUUAAAUACACAUUCAUAAAUUUACUGCUUUGGUUCUUUGGAUAAUCAAUCAGUCAGGUCUAUAGGAGAGAUGAUUUUUGUUGUUUUUCUUGUGAAAAAUGUGAAGAAUAAGUUGAAUGGUUGGCAUACUGCCACAUCUUAUAGCCAUUGAGUUAAAUAUUCAUUUGAAUUAGGUUUAAAACGUGGUUGAGGCUCUUGAAAUGCUAGUAAUCCAUAGAUUCUUUAUCAUUAGUGCCUCACGCAUUAGAAAUAGCAGUACUUCUGCUGGGGAAUGUAUCAUCUGGGAAAAGUCUUGGCUACCCUACCUGCAGGUCCUCUAUUCAUAGUGUAAUAAAAGAAAAACAAUAAAAAUGAUCUUUUCUACAAGAUUAUCCAAAACUCCUACAGCAUCCCUCCAGGCAUCAGCUGAGGGCUCUUAUUCCAAAGUCACUUACUGUUGCUGGAAUUCUUUUAUUCUGCCAGGAUCCAGGCAGUCGCUGCUGCCAUGAUCUAGUCCCUAAUGACCUCUCUCUUCAGCUUGGCCAGCUAAGCUCUCUCCUGCUGGCGCCCUGGCCCUGCCCCUUCUCUGCUCUCAGGUAACAGAGAAAGAGGAGUUGUGGUUGGCCCUGGAACCUGGAUACAGACCCAGGGGAAGUCUAAAGCUCUCCACUCUGUUCAGCCAGAGGCCACCAGCCUCUGCACCAGCCCUAAUUGGCUCUAGAGGUGCAACUGAUCGGUCUCCUCCUCUUUUAUCUCUGCUCAGUCAUCACCAUGUCUCCAGGUCAGGGUCUGUGGUCUUCUCAGAGAGACACACCCUCCUCCCUAUCAGGGCUGUACCUGGCUAGAAGAGUUUGUUUAAACAUCUGCCCCUGCAGUGCGCACUGGGUGGUUUCCUGUCUUUGUGUCCUUCUCCUAAAUUGGAGCCACUUCAUCCCAGUCACCUUGGAACCUGACUCAAGAAAUGGCAGUUCCAUGCCUAUUUCUCUGGACACACAAAGGGGUCCUGUCUCCAGGGUAAUCUCAGAUUGGAUCACCCCUUGUUUCACUUAGACUCAGGUGCCCCUUCUCCCAACGAGGAUGCAUAUAGAAUAGAAUUAGGCCCUGCUCCCAGACAAGCAAUCUAGAAGUCCAUUCUCAUUGGUUGACCUUCUGUGGUGUUCCUGAAAUUGCCUUGUAGCCAAUCAGACACUAAGUAAACCCAGGAGCCUUGGAACCUCUGGACCUCAGUUUUCCUUGACUCACUGAUUUUCCACUGGUCUGGUGCCUCAGAAGAACCAGAUUCUCCUGUUCAGUCGUCACUUCCCUUCUGCUGCUUCCCUGCUUUAGAAACUAAGCCCUGUCUUGCUUUUGUCAAUUCUGUAUUUAUACCCCUACACAAAACUGAAUGGCCACUGGCCUCCAGAUGGUUCUCCUACACUUCAGUCUUUCACUGCUAGCCUGCCUGCCGAAUUGGAAACCCUGGUAUGACCAUUUCCAAAAUUAGAAACCAGACUGCACCAUCUCCCAGGGGCACUAUGCCUGCAUCUCUCAGCACUCAGUCGAGCCAACCUCUGCAAGUGUCCCAGACACCCUUCCUUCCAGUCUCUUCUACUCCCCUCCCCCAUAUUUCUGGCUAUGGUGAUUUGGGCUUUUGCCUUCCACUCUUUGCCCAACCUUGCUGAAGUCUUAACACAUUGGACCUCCCCUGCCUGAACUAUGCCAAGCAGAAGAAAGGCGAAUUCAAGGGUUACCUAAACCCUGGAUAUUCUUUCAGAGGCCUCAUCACACAUCCUAUCAAACACUGGAAAAUGUCCUAUCCCACAUGAAAAGCACGACGUUUUGUUAUGAAAAUUAAAGGAAAUCAUAUAAUUUUCCUCUUGAAACAUUUAUUAAUUGCAUUUUAUAAUUUGCUUUGUGUUUUAGAGCCAGGCCAUUUUCUUGUCCAGCUCUCAAACAAUUUGAUAAGACUGGGAAAUGCUUAUGAGCUCUGGGCACUGCACCUAUAGUGAGAACUUGAGCCUUAAAGGAUUAGAAAAAUGCCUCUGGGAGGAAAGCAAACACACACGUCUCUAUGAUGCAGUUCAAGCCCCUCACCCCCAUCAUCACUUAAAUCUCUCUCUUGCCCAGUUUCUAUAUCCUAAUGGGCUUCUUUGCCUGAUCCCCUGUCUUGGCUACUCACCUUCUGCCAGCAGCUCUCAGACAAACACUCCCCUUAUUCCCAAAGCAAGCUGGCCUGCCUGGAUUUCAAGAGUUUCACCAGCCCCUAGAUUCCCUUUCAAGCCCUUGUUCCACCUCUGAGGACCCUGCCCCCAGGCGACUGCCACUUUGGACUAUGGCAUUUGUUUGCUUGACCCUGUAGAAAUGAUAACUGAACUCUCUUAAGGCUGCAGCUUCAUCUGGCUCUCUGGAGCCCCAGCCCCCUUCAAAGCCCUGAUCUGGGAUUGCAUAUUGGGUGCUUCAGUCUUUCCCUGCCUGCUGGGACUGACCAGCAAAGGCCAUUUGUGUCCCAAGUAGGACAGCUACCAGAAAUCACACUUCACAUUUUCCUACUUAAGGUGCCUGCUUACAUUUCCCUGUGCUUUGAGUGUCUCCUUCUCUAAAGGAGCCUUUUAUGAGUCAGUUACAUGUGGCAUCCCUGCUACACUUCUCUGUGGCUUUUCUGAUCAGUUAUACAGAUUAAGAACAUGUACAAGAAAGCCAAAAUAUCCCCAGCAAUUACCCCAGGUUACGUCUCUUGUAAAUGUUAACCAUUACUCAGUUGAAAUAGCCAUUAAUAGUUGGCUUUUGUGUUCCAGGAUUUCUGAGGUCACUGAAUUACUAGUGAUUCUGCAAUUUCAAUAUAUUUCUUAAAAUUAAAUUACACAUAUUUUGGGUACACAGUGAUCCAGUUAAGAGGGAGAGUCUGCAAUUAUAUAUUUUUGUCUCUUUAGUUUCCUUUCUCAUUUUUUUCCCCCAGAAAGGAAAUUAGACUAGCCUUUUAAAAAUGGUGUUCUGCUACAGUCUGCAAUUUUGAGAGGAAAGGUGAUGAAUGCCUUUAUUUUCAUGUCGUCAAAAGCUCAGCAAGAAUUUGCGUCUAUUUUGACUGUGGAGCCUACUGUGUGCAAAACAGGUGUGACAAAAUCCCCCCUAUUAGAGCUGUUUUCUUUCCAUUUUCUAUUUUAAAAAAACUUUUCUCUCUGUGGUAAUCACUUAACCCUAAAAGGCCUGGAUAUUUAUACAAAAAGGUACCAUGCUUCAUUUGUUAAAUACUCUUUCUCUUCUGAGUUUGAUUUUAAUUUUAGUUAUUUAAUUGUUUGGUCCAAGAUAGACUUAAAACAUCUUAUUUUGAAAGAAAACAUGAUUAAGUUCCUGGAAUAUUUACUUGAUCACUUGAACCAAUCCAUGGUGUUCCUCCAUUGGCAUUCCUCCGCGGGACGUGUGAUGACUAGCCUGCUAGUCUUGGAAAAUACUCCUCCCCUGCCCUUCUCUGUCCUUAUCUAAGCUGGCUUCUACAGGCUGUUUUCCAGACCCAUGUGUCAGCUGGCUUCCUACUGGGCUAGGCUAACAGGGAGCACUGUCAGGUGAUUGGAGGGUAGGAGAAACCAAUAUAUCUCCCCAUCUCUUUCUGCCUUAGGCACCAUCCCCUGCAGCUGUCUCCCCAGCGGCUCCCUCUCUUGCUGGACAGGCCUACCAUGAAAUCAGCCCUGGGAUCUGACAAUACUACCUCCUCCUGCCACCUACUUAAAAGUGUAAUAGUUUCCUGUGGUUGCUUCUCUGGGGAAGAAUUUCCCCUGGAUUCUUCUCAGUUUUUCCAUCACCUGUGCAACAGAUUCCUUGUAUCACAUUCUUUGUUUGAAGAAAUAAGUGUGGUUUCUGUUUUUCUAGUUGAAUUCAGCAGAUUUAUCCAUUUUGUGUUUUCGUAAGGGUCUUACCCUGCUUAGGGGAGAAGGAAUGAUUUUCACAGGAAAGCAGUCACAUUCAGUUUAGGAAUCUGCCUGUGCUUCCCCCGAUGGCUUUAGUAAUGUCAUUAUUUUUUCCACCUCUUACUCCCCAUGCUUGCUCCUCACCUCCCAUACCCAACCUGUGUCUCUCCUGCUUCCUCCAUUCUUAGAGCAUAUGACACCUAUCUUCUGGGGUCACAUCCCCAGAGGUACACAAUGAUUUGUUUUUGUUUAUUUUUAAAUUUCUUUUCAUAUAGUGUCCUUAACAAGAAUGUCACUGCUGUAGGAUAGGAUAGCAAAAGAGCACUGGGUUUUUCAUUCAGAAUGUGAAUCAGUGUGGCUUGUUUGAAUCCUAUAGCCUUGUCCUGCACAACAGUGCCCUUGAUAGCAGAACAGGAAAAAAGAUAAUUUCACCACAAAUCUAUGAGGAGAAAAUGAGAUGAAACAUAUGAAAGGAUUGUGCAAAAGAUAAAAGGCUAAAAGAAAAUAAAAAGAAAAGGCCAGGUAUGGUGUUUCAUGCCUAUAAUCCCAGCAUUGUGGGAGCCCAAGGCAGGAGGAUCACUUGAGCCCAGGAGUUCAAUAUCAGCCUGGGCAGCAUAGAGAGGUCCUGUCUGUAUUUAAAAAAAAUUUUUUUUAACGAUAAAAUGCUAAGCAAAUAAGAAGUUAUUAUUUUGAAAUAGUAAAUAAGCCUAAAUUAGUUGUUUUCCUUGAAACAAUUGUAAUUUUAAAAGUUACCACAAAGGUAUUUCUCAACUAGAAUUUAUACAGAAGCUUAACAACAUCACAGUCUUGAUUUAACACAUGAUUUCUCAAUCUCAGUUCUAUUGACCUUUGAGGUUGGAUAAUUCUUUGUUGUAGGGAGCUGUCUUGUGCAUUGUAAGAUUUUUGGUGGCAUCUCUACCAGUAGCACCCACCUGUCUAGUUAUAACAAAACAUUUCUCAACAUUGCCAAAUGUCCCCUAGGAAAAAAAAAAAAAGAGACAAAACCGCCCCAAAUUGAAAACCACUGAUUUAACAAAACCUACUUGGAAAGAUGUGCCUUCUUUUUGAUAUAAGUUGUUAAAACAAACAAUAAUUAAAAGAAGUCUGGCUUUUCAUAGAUUAUUUGGGAAAAAUCUUUUAAAAAUGCAGUUCAGUCAUAAAAUAUAACCUUAAAGAUCCAAAAACCCUACAGUGAAAGUCAGUGGUGAUUGUCACAGCAGUAGUGUGUGUUACUAAGUAUUUACGUUGGAGAAGCUAAUCUUCCUGUUAAGUAUUGUGGUCGGACUACCUAACCAAGAUGUCCUUUCUUCUUCAUACAAUUAAUAACAUUGUUAUUUUUACUAGGUGUUAAAAAAAAACACACUAACACUUUAUAUCUGACUACUGUAUGUUGAAAUCCUUUGAUGUCCUUUAAAAGGCAAGGUAACUCAGAUUGAAUAUUAGUAGGAACAUAUAUUUCACUCUUGACUCAUAUAUUCUGGGUUUGUACUUGUAUGGACUACCUUGAGUAGCUGCAGGACUUAGAAUUUUAUGAGCAUCACAGCUAAGUCAUGGUCUGUAGAAUCAUUCAUAUUUCAAUUCCUAAUAUGGUAGUCUUAGCUACCAUUUAAUUUCUAGAGAACUGGAAACCAAAGUAUAACUAUGUAAAGUCUAGAAAUUAUUGUAUUUAAAAUAUUGAUUCCAGGUCUCCAAAUAUGUCUCUUCUAGCUUAUAUCAAUAGGUUUCUAAAACCAGUUUUUCAUCUCCACUGUGUCAGUUAGCUUUCUUCCCAGCUAAAGAAAAUAUUGACCAAAGCAAGUUGCAAAACAGGUGAAACUGGUUGUAGUAAAAGAGUUACUUUUUGCUGGGAAGAUAAAAGAGAUGUAACUACUGUCCUUGACAUGAGUAUAUUGCUAAGCUUUGUGGACAAACAUUCUGAGAUUGGUAAAAUACUUACUGCUUCAGGAAAAUUACACUUAUUUCCUCAUCUAUGAUUUUGCAUUCUCCUAGUUAAUCUUCUUUUGGGGGACAGUGAGCCUCCUUUGAAGGACUUACGGGCAUUAAUAAUAAUAUCACUGUACAAAAAUUAAUAAUAUGUAUUGCUCUUUUAAAGAUACUUUUGUACAAGAUAUUUUAAUAAAACAAUCUUAUUCAGUG